rnacentral:rRNA from 1 species
GACGAACGCUGGCGGCGUGCCUAAUACAUGCAAGUUGAGCGAUGAAGAUUGGUGCUUGCCCCAAUUUGAAGAGCAGCGAACGGGUGAGUAACGCGUGGGGAAUCUGCCUUUGAGCGGGGGACAACAUUUGGAAACGAAUGCUAAUACCGCAUAACAACUUUAAACAUAAGUUUUAAGUUUGAAAGAUGCAAUUGCAUCACUCAAAGAUGAUCCCGCGUUGUAUUAGCUAGUUGGUGAGGUAAAGGCUCACCAAGGCGAUGAUACAUAGCCGACCUGAGAGGGUGAUCGGCCACAUUGGGACUGAGACACGGCCCAAACUCCUACGGGAGGCAGCAGUAGGGAAUCUUCGGCAAUGGACGAAAGUCUGACCGAGCAACGCCGCGUGAGUGAAGAAGGGUUUCGGAUCGGAAAACUCUGUUGGUAGAGAAGAACGUUGGUGAGAGUGGAAAGCUCAUCAAGUGACGGUAACUACCCAGAAAGGGACGGCUAACUACGUG